ACAUCCCCGGAGGGAGCCCAGCGAGGACGGCAGCAGCUCGGAGGAGAACGUCCUCUACCAGGCUGUCAUGGACGGCAGGGUGGCCAUCGAGGUGACACGGGGACAGGGGGGGACAUGGGGACAGGGGGGGACAUGGGGACAUGUUGGGGGGCACAGGGACACACAGGGAUAAAGGGACACGCGAGCAAAACCAGCUCCCAAAGGGACACGGGGACGUGUCCACCUUGGGAAGGGGACAUGGGGGGGGGGCAUUUGCUCAAAUGUGGGGCCACCACGUGUCACCACGUGCCACCACAUGUCACCACGUGCCACCACAUGUCACCACAUGUCACCACGUGUCACCACGUGUCACCACGUGUCACUGUGCCCGCAGGUGGCGGUGGACGAGUGGCUGCAGGGCUACAAGCGGGACCGGGAGCCGGCCUUCCUGGAGCUCGUCAACUUCAUCGUCCGCUCCUGCGGCUGCCGAGGCACGGUGACGCUGGCCAUGCUGCGGGAGCAGCAGAACACCGAGAUCAUCCAGCGGCUGACCGAGACCUUCAGCGAGGUACUGGGGGAUGUGUGGUGGUGUGGGGAUGCCGCCAUCUUGUCUCCUCUGUGAGGCGGCCAUCUUGUCACCGCUGUGACGCCGCCAUCUUGUCUCCUUGCAUCCCCACCACUUCCUCUCUUUGCGUCCCCUCCAUUUUGUCACCUGUGUGACCCCAGCAUUUUGUCCCUUGUGUCCUGGAUGCUUUAUAUUUUUCGUAUUGCUGCUGUUUUGUUAUUUCUGUGAGGCGGCCAUCUUGUCACCUGUGUGACGCCGCCAUCUUGUCACCUCACUUCCUUGCUAUUUUGUCCCUCUGCAUCCCUGCCACUUUGUCACCUGUGUGACCCAACGCUUUGUCCCUGUGUCCCCAACACGUUAUUUUUCUGCGUUGCCUCCAGUUUGUCAUCUCUGUGAGGCAGCCAUCUUGUCAC
rnacentral:lncRNA from 1 species